CAUAGCCCGUGACGUCACUUCCUCCUUCACCAGCCCAUUCCCGGAUGCUGCGGAAGAAGUAUCAUGGAAGAGUUGGUGCCUAUCUCCUGCGCUCAUUGACUGAGGUACAGGAUGCACCCUUGACAGGUAUGAUCAGAAG